rnacentral:rRNA from 1 species
UACGGAGGGUGCAAGCGUUGUCCGGAAUCACUGGGCGUAAAGGGCGCGUAGGCGGCUCAUGAAGGCUGUGGUGAAAGUCCGGGGCUCAACCCCGGGUCGGCCGUGCGAACUGCGAGGCUGGAGCACUGUAGAGGCAGGUGGAAUUCCGGGUGUAGCGGUGGAAUGCGUAGAGAUCCGGAAGAACACCGGUGGCGAAGGCGGCCUGCUGGGCAGUGGCUGACGCUGAGGCGCGACAGCGUGGGGAGCAAACAGG